AGAAGAUUGAUUCUAUGGAUAAUGAUGAGGUUUUUAGUUCACAGAAUCUUUCAUCUACUCUGAGGAAACUGUGUAUGUGGGAGAAGAAGCUCCAUGAUGAAGUCAAGGAUGAGGAAAAGCUGCGUAUAAUUCAUUCAAAGAAGCAUAGCCAGAUGAAAAGCAUGGAUCAGAAGGGCGCUGAUGCUCACCGAGUUGACUCCACACGAACUUCGAUUAGGGCCUUAUCUACUAAAUGAGAGUUGCAGUUCAAGUUAUUGACAACAUAGCAAUUACCAUAAAUAAGCUGAUGGUUGAAGAGUUGUGGCCACACAUCAAUGAGCUGAUUCACAGAUUGUGUGGAAUGUGGAAGGUAAUGCUAGAAUGCCAUAGCUGUCAGUACCAAAAGGUUAUGGAAGCAAAAUGUUUGGAUAUCAUUAGUAUGAAUGAAAAUCUUAACGACACUAAUCUCGAAGUGGCAAUGAAACUAAAGCUUGAGCUUCAAACUGGAUUCUUAGCUUCUCUAGUUGGAUUGAAGCUCAGAGGGGCUAUGUCAAAGCUUUGAAUGGUUGGCUACAUAGAUGUCUCCUAUAUGAACCAGAGGAAAUAACAGCAGACGGUGUUUCAUCCUUCUCUUCUAGUGGAUGCGGAGUACCCCCAG